ACGUACACUCCUGCGGGAGGCAGCAGUGGGGAAUAUUGGACAAUGGGCGCAAGCCUGAUCCAGCCAUGCCGCGUGAGUGAUGAAAGCCCUAGGGUUGUAAAGCUCUUUCACCGGUGAAGAUAAUGACGGUAACCGGAGAAGAAGCCCCGGCUAACUUCGUGCCAGCAGCCGCGGUAAUACGAAGGGGGCUAGCGUUGUUCGGAUUUACUGGGCGUAAAGCGCACGUAGGCGGACUAUUAAGUCAGGGGUGAAAUCCCGGGGCUCAACCCCGGAACUGCCUUUGAUACUGGUAGUCUUGAGUUCGAGAGAGGUGAGUGGAAUUCCGAGUGUAGAGGUGAAAUUCGUAGAUAUUCGGAGGAACGCCAGUGGCGAAGGCGGCUCACUGGCUCGAUACUGACGCUGAGGUGCGAAAGCGUGGGGAGCAAACAGGAUUAGAUACCCCAGUAGUCCCAUGAU
rnacentral:rRNA from 1 species